UACGGGGGAUGCAAGCGUUAUCCGGAAUUAUUGGGCGUAAAGCGUCUGUAGGUUGUUUGAUAAGUCUGUUGUUAAAGACUGGGGCUUAACCCCAGGAAAGCAAUGGAAACUGUUAGGCUAGAGUAUGGUAGAGGUAGAGGGAAUUCCUAGUGUAGCGGUGAAAUGCGUAGAUAUUAGGAAGAACACCGGUGGCGAAAGCGCUCUGCUGGGCCAUAACUGACACUCAGAGACGAAAGCUAGGGUAGCAAAUGGGAUUAGAUACCCCAGUAGUCCUAGCCGUAAACGAUGGAUACUAGAUGUUGCGUAACUCUUACAGUGUUUUAGCUAACGCGUUAAGUAUCCCGCCUGGGGAGUACACUCGCAAGGGUG
rnacentral:rRNA from 1 species